rnacentral:rRNA from 1 species
UAGGGAAUAUUGCACAAUGGGGGAAACCCUGAUGCAGCGACGCCGCGUGAGUGAUGAAGGCCUUCGGGUCGUAAAGCUCUGUCGUAUGGGACUAACAAAAUGAAGGUACCAUGCAAGAAAGGAUCGGCUAACUUCGUGCCAGCAGCCGCGGUAAUACGUAGGGACCAAGCGUUGUUCGGAUUUACUGGGCGUAAAGGGCGCGUAGGCGGCAUGACAAGUCACUUGUGAAAUCUCUGGGCUUAACCCAGAACGGCCAAGUGAUACUGUCGCGCUAGAGUGCAGAAGGGGCAAUCGGAAUUCUUGGUGUAGCGGUGAAAUGCGUAGAUAUCAAGAGGAACACCUGAGGUGAAGACGGGUUGCUGGGCUGACACUGACGCUGAGGCGCGAAAGCCAGGGGAGCAAACAGGAUUAGAUACCCACGUAGUCCCUGAGCGGGCUGGCAAGGCGCAU